rnacentral:rRNA from 1 species
CACCGCGGUUAAACGAGAGGCCCUAGUUGAUACUACAGCGGCGUAAAGGGUGGUUAAGGAUAAAAAAAUAAUAAAGCCAAAUGGCCCUUCGGCAGUUAUACGCUUUCUAGGCGUCUGAAGCCCCACUUAUACGAAAGUAGCUUUAACAAAAUAACCUGACCCCACGAAAGCUGAGAAA